GUGUCUGGGAGUUGGGCGAGAGCUGCAGACUUGGAGGCUCUUAUACCUCCGUGCAGGCGGAAAGUUUGGGGGCAGCAGUGUCAUUGGCCUGACGUGAGGAGGAGGGACUUUUCGAAGUUUUAUAGGAAAGUUUCCGCUUUCCAGUCCCCCUCCCCCGUCCCACCUCCCUUCCUCGGGGUCUAACAAUUCGUCCUCCCAAACCAUUCAAAAACGACCUGGCCCGGGCGGCCGGCCCCUCCACCCGCCUCCUAGCCGCCCUCCCCCUUCCCUCCCCGUCGCCUUCCUCCGGCGGGCGCGGGGCGAUUUCCUUCCCCGCCGGAGCGUGCGGGCAGCGCCCCCGAACCCUAGCGCAGCCCAGGAAGCGGUCGGAGGAGACUGUCCUGGCCGCGGUGGCAGCCCCAUCCGGAGUGGCUGUGACAGCAGCAAUGGCAACAGCUUCUACACAGUGGGUGAUGUCUCAUCUCGCCCAAGAGCCCUCUAGGCUGGAGAGUUGGUGUCUUAGCUGCCCAUUAACCUUGUUGGAAAACACACUCACUUCACUUGUAUCAAAGAGUUGCUGGAAUAACUGAUGAAAGAAUGCAAGAAAUAAAUAGUUAUUCAUAGGAACUAUUAUCAUGGUCUCAGUCUUUCUACAUAGCAUUAUGUGUCUUCUUUUUAAUCAUCCGAUGACCAGUAAUUUAAAUAUAAAUGGAAUGAUUUACAUUCUAUGUUUUUUCAAUUCAAUUUCUCUUUCUGAUUACU
rnacentral:lncRNA from 1 species